rnacentral:rRNA from 1 species
GACGAACGCUGGCGGCGUGCCUAAUACAUGCAAGUCGAGCGAAGUUUUUCUGGUGCUUGCACUAGAAAAACUUAGCGGCGAACGGGUGAGUAACACGUAAAGAACCUGCCUCAUAGACUGGGACAACUAUUGGAAACGAUAGCUAAUACCGGAUAACAGCAUUAACUGCAUGGUUGAUGUUUGAAAGUUGGUUUUGCUAACACUAUGAGAUGGCUUUGCGGUGCAUUAGCUAGUUGGUGGGGUAAAGGCCUACCAAGGCGACGAUGCAUAGCCGACCUGAGAGGGUGAUCGGCCACACUGGGACUGAGACACGGCCCAGACUCCUACGGGAGGCAGCAGUAGGGAAUCUUCCGCAAUGGGCGAAAGCCUGACGGAGCAACGCCGCGUGAGUGAAGAAGGAUUUCGGUUCGUAAAGCUCUGUUGUUAGGGAAGAAUGAUUGUGUAGUAACUAUACACAGUAGAGACGGUACCUAACCAGAAAGCCACGGCUAACUACGUGCCAGCAGCCGCGGUAAUACGUAGGUGGCAAGCGUUGUCCGGAAUUAUUGGGCGUAAAGCGCGCGCAGGUGGUUUAAUAAGUCUGAUGUGAAAGCCCACGGCUCAACCGUGGAGGGUCAUUGGAAACUGUUAAACUUGAGUGCAGGAGAGAAAAGUGGAAUUCCUAGUGUAGCGGUGAAAUGCGUAGAGAUUAGGAGGAACACCAGUGGGCGAAGGCGGCUUUUUGGCCUGUAACUGACACUGAGGCGCGAAAGCGUGGGGAGCAAACAGG